ensembl:lincRNA Y71F9AM.9 ncRNA
CCAAAAAUGAAAUUCCAUCUUCUCAUCCUCCUUUCGUUCCUAAUUUCCUUGGCUUCAUGCCAAAUGUUCCACUCAUCUCCCGAAGUGUUAUCUAAUCAAGUCUACAAUCCAUAUCAUCAGUACUACAACGGUCACACUCAGCAUCAUCAUGGAGGAGGACAUGUCGUUCAUCAUGAUAACGGAGUCAAAUCGAGUCACGGAUUCUUUACGGUGUGCAGAGGAUGGACAUGUCAUUCAUAGGAUUUCGAGCAGAAAAAGUCGUGGCUGAACUUCUCCCUUAGUGUAAUAUCAAGCUUUUGAUCUCAUUUUCAAUUAUUAUACUUGUACUGAACAUGUAUCUUGAAUCAUUAUAUUUACUAUUAUCCAAUUUUCAUGUUCAUUGAUUCAUUCCCUGUGAAAAGCAGGGCGAAGGAAAACACCUUCUCAUUAUCAGAUAUGCCACUAUUUUGGUCUCUCAUUUCCGUGAUUUUUGUCAGGAAAAUCUUCAAAUGAAAUCUCAUAAAAAUGUUGGCAAAUAG